rnacentral:rRNA from 1 species
UACGGAGGAUGCAAGCGUUAUCCGGAAUGAUUGGGCGUAAAGCGUCCGCAGGUGGCUAUGUAAGUCUGCUGUUAAAGAGUGAGGCUUAACCUCAUAAGAGCAGUGGAAACUACAUGGCUAGAGUGCGUUCGGGGCAGAGGGAAUUCCUGGUGUAGCGGUGAAAUGCGUAGAGAUCAGGAAGAACACCGGUGGCGAAAGCGCUCUGCUAGGCCGCAACUGACACUGAGGGACGAAAGCUAGGGGAGCGAAUGGG